UUCAAGUGGUUGAAAUCUUUAGUAGAGAGAGGAUUUUUUUGUUUGUUGUUGAGUCAAUUCCAUUUUGAUUCCUGUCGCCAUAGGAAUUAUCGCCAUAGUAAUUCCUGGAAACUAAUAAGUCGCUUUGGAUAAAAUCGUCUGCUAAAUGGCAUAUUCUACAGCAGGAUCAGGACAGGACUUGGAUGGAUUGUGGUUGCCAACCUCAGCUCUGGACCGUCCAAGGUUAUGCUGACCUUGAACAAUAUAAUCAGGGCCUGAGUUUUCCCUGUUCAGGGCCCAUAUCCACAAAGCGUCUCAGAGGAGGAGUGCUGGACCCGUAUCCACAAAACAAUUUCAGAAAAAUGGGUGAUGCAGCACUCUCAGCACCACUACUUCCUGCUGCUGUGGAUAAUAACCAAUCGCAAUGAGGCAUCGCCAGCUGUAAACUCUAUAAGCAACACGCUUCAGACAACCAUGGUGAAUGUGACUCUACAUCAAGCUGUCAUCAAGGCAAAGGGUGGCUAUUUGAAGAAUCUCAAAUAUAAAAUAUAUUUUG